CAGCCGCCGCGGGAACACAGAGGGUGCGAGCGUUAAUCGGAUUUACUGGGCGUAAAGCGUGCGUAGGCGGCUUCUUAAGUCGGAUGUGAAAUCCCUGAGCUUAACUUAGGAAUCGCAUUCGAUACUGGGAAGCUAGAGUAUGGGAGAGGAUGGUAGAAUUCCAGGUGUAGCGGUGAAAUGCGUAGAGAUCUGGAGGAAUACCGAUGGCGAAGGCAGCCAUCUGGCCUAAUACUGACGCUGAGGUACGAAAGCAUGGGGAGCAAACAGGAUUAGAGACCCCAGUAGUCCCUGUCUCUUAUAC
rnacentral:rRNA from 1 species